CAAUCAUAAAAUGCUAGCAAAAGUAAUAUGCGAUUCAAAACAGAACAAACUAUGAUUAACGGAUUAAGUAAGCAAAUAACAUCUAAGCAGUUUGUGACUAUAUUGGCAUUUAUGUACAAUGUUUUAUGUAAAAUAUCCAAAGUUUCAAAUAUCAAGCAGAUAAAUGGAUUCAUCGCAUAGUUUUAAAUUAAAAAUAUUUGAAAGAUUUUUAAAAAGGAAAGAAACUGCUGGAAGCCACAAAAGGUAUUGAUAAAACGGAGUUGUUUUCAAUGCCGUUGACAAAUAAUCGCAAAGAAAGAGUAAUCCAGCGAAAUCAGUUUUUACAUACUGUGAUUUUGUUUAACCAUAUUUGUGACAAAAUGUUUCAAACAAAAUGAAAAUGAUCUGCUCAAGAUAUGCAAAACAUGCACUGACUCAAUAUAAGUGGUAUUUCUUAUCAAG